rnacentral:lncRNA from 1 species
CUUUGAUCGGAGGCUCUGGAAGGAUGGGAUCCUUCAAAUAGCAUAAGUAGUUUAUUUUUAACAGAUACAUGUAUGCAAAUAUUACUUAAACAUAAAUCUGGAAAAUAUUUAACUUAGCUGAGUUGUGUUGGAGAGAGCAAUAAGUUUCUCAGAGAUCCCAAGAUGAAAAGAAAUUUACGUAGGAAGUCAGAGUGUUAAUAAAGUGUCUCUGGAAUGGAAACUAUCAUGUACACUUCACUAUUUCAGCUGGUAAAAUCAUUUUAUCUUUUUUUCUUGUCAAUUAUGGAUAGGCUUAAGAUUUAUCUGAAGAAAGAAGGGGAAAAGUUUCUGUAGAAUAUGUCGUCUAAUGAUGAUGUUUUCUACUUUAUUUUAUAAUGUUUGCUGGUAGAGGAUCAUUCACAAAGAAGAACAAGUAUAAUAUAGGUAAGAAAAGAUCUGAAAGUCAUGCAGAAGCUAGGCAUCUGACUGCUCAACCUGAAGAGACCUUAUCUGAGCAUAGUCUUGUACUAUGAAUUCAAUCAGAAGCUGGUCUUGUCAGAUUUCCACCGUAAGCCAAUUAUAUUCUAUAUGCACAUAUAUCAAGAUGUCAGGAGGUCAUACACUGGAAAGAUAUUAGGUGAUGUCUAAUUUCAUGCACAAAAUGCACAUGACAAUCCUCAUUUCUCCUGUUUACAUUCUCACUUUCUUACAUUCCUUUUGUAUACAUUUUUAAUCUUUUCCUGAUGUAAAAAUUGAUUUCAAUCUUGAGUCCUUUAAAUUUUGUAUUUUCAGCCCUUUCAAUGAUAAUGAACUUCCAACUCUAAUUUAAGUAUUUCUCAUAAUGCACACAUCCAUUAUUCACAAAUUUGCAUAAUACCUACUAGAUCCUAGACAUCUUGUAAGCACUUUAAUAAACAACAACAACAAGUGCGUAAAUUCCA